CUCACUCAUUCGGCCAGUCAUGUAUUCACUAAUUAUUCAACAAAUAGUUACGAUGCUUGCUGUGUGCCAGGCACUGUUCCAGGACCUCAGGACCUUUGACCAAGGACCCAGGGAUUCACCACUCAUCCUGUUGAAUUUUGCUACUUCCCAUAGGUCUUUGAGCUUGAGGUCAGAAGCUCUUGUGCAUAAGCAGGCCUGGUGUCCAUCAACAUUCACUAUCAAAUAAGAAUGUCAGUGUGAAGGCCUUUCCCACAGAAACACCAGGUGCAGCUAAGGGAAGCCGGAGGAAGUGGGUCAUUAGCCCAGAAGAGUGAAGGAAACUGAUUCGUGAGUCAAAACGACA